CCCUCCGAGGGGCGGUCUUCCUUUUUCCCAGCCACCGUGCUGCUGGCGUGUUGGGCUGCAGGUGCGGCGUAGUUCACGGCCGUCCUCCUCUCACCUCGCGGUAGCUUCGUCGCCCCUGGCCUCGCACCCGCCAGGCCUGCCUCCCGAGGCUGUGGGAUGUUGAGAAUGGCUCGGAGCUGCCGGGCCUCCCGGCCUGCUGGGACCAAGGCCCGGAAGGCCUGGUCCGCUGCAUGCGCGGUAAGAGGGGCCAGAGCCCGCCGGGGCGAUACCUGCUCCCGCCUCGGCCCGCGCAUCCCUGCGCUGCAGUGCGACGGCUGUGCCUGACUCAAGAUUCCAGGAGGACUUUGAAGUGGAGCUUUUUGGUGAGGAUUCUGGGGUCAUGACUGACACGGAACACAACCACCUCGGGUCUGAUUGCCCUGAAGUGUCCCUGUUGGUGUUGGCUUCUGAAGAGUCUGAGGCUCCCGGGCUGUUGCUGUGCUUUAGAUGAGAUGUGUUUCAGUACAGCUGUCCUCAUCUGAGAUGAUGGAUCUAGUUGGGACAGAAACACCGUGGGAAGAGGCAAGCUGAAAGAUUUUGGUGGAAGACCAUGACCUCUGUAUUUUUGUUAAUGUUGGCACAUGGCAUGUGAUUAAUAAAAGACUUCAAGUAGGUUUCCCUAUU